GAUGAACGCUGGCGGCGUGCCUAAUACAUGCAAGUCGAGCGAACGGACGAGAAGCUUGCUUCUCUGAUGUUAGCGGCGGACGGGUGAGUAACACGUGGAUAACCUACCUAUAAGACUGGGAUAACCUCGGGAAACCGUAGCUAAUACCGGAUAAUAUUUUGAACCGCAUGGUUCAAAAGUGAAAGACGGUCUUGCUGUCACUUAUAGAUGGAUCCGCGCUGCAUUAGAUAGUUGGUAAGGUAACGGCUUACCAAGGCAACGAUGCAUAGCCGACCUGAGAGGGUGAUCGGCCACACUGGAACUGAGACACGGUCCAGACUCCUACGGGAGGCAGCAGUAGGGAAUCUUCCGCAAUGGGCGAAAGCCUGACGGAGCAACGCCGCGUGAGUGAUGAAGGUCUUCGGAUCGUAAAACUCUGUUAUUAGGGAAGAACAUAUGUGUAAGUAACUGUGCACAUCUUGACGGUACCUAAUCAGAAAGCCACGGCUAACUACGUG
rnacentral:rRNA from 1 species